rnacentral:rRNA from 1 species
GACGAACGCUGGCGGCGUGCUUAACACAUGCAAGUCGAACGGAAAGGCCCUGCUUUUGUGGGGUGAUCGGGUGCCGACGGGGUGAGUAACACGUGAGUAACCUGCCCUUGACUUUGGGAUAACUUCAGGAAACUGGGGCUAUUACAGCAUAGGAUCUCUUGCAGCAUGGUGGGGGUUGGAAAUUUUAGGCGGUUGGGGUUGGACUCGAGGCUUAUCAGCUUGUUGGUGGGGUAGUGGCUUACCAAGGGUUUGACGGUUAGCCGGCCUGGGAGGGGGAACGGCCACAUUGGGACUGCGGUACGGCCCAGACUCCUAUGGGAGGCAGCAGUGGGGAAUAUUGCACAAUGGGCGGAAGCGUGAGGCAGCAACGCCGCGUGCGUGAUGACGGCCUUCGGGUUGUAAACCGCUUUCGCCUGUGACGAAGCGUGAGUGACGGUAAUGAGUAAAGAAGCACCGGCUAACUACGUG